GGAAAAAAAUAGUUUUAUAAUUUAUUGCCAGAAGAUGUAAAUUCAUGGGGGGGGGGGGGGGGGGGGGGGGGGUGGGUGUUAUGUGAGGAUACCCAUAAGUUCCAUGAAAAUGGAGCUAUCAUGAAUUCAAUCAACUCCAGAGUGUUAGAUAGGGUCAUUGUACAUCAGUCUUUUCAGUAGUAAGACUAGUCUGUAGUAAUAAUGAAUAUAUGUAUCAGUAGAAAUAUCACUAGUGUUCAUUGUUUGGAAAAAAUGUUGCCAUCCAAUGAGGAAGUAAGAUAUAGCCACUGAUGAAAAGAUCUUGUGUUUCGUUCCUGUGUGCUAGCGUCACUGUCAAUAGAUCUGUUGGUUUUUUAUGACUGAACAGGAAGCGUGAAGUAUAGCGUUAUUUAUUGAUUCUACUUGUGUGUUGUUUGGAUGUCAAACUGAGCAUUAUUUAUCUAUGUACCGGUCUACAUUUACUGACUCGCAUACUCUUUUAAUAGCAAAACUAUUUUUAUACAUACCUUCUCUACGAAUUGUUCUCUUUACGACUCAGUUGUAUGCCUGUAUCAAUUUUUAUGCUAGUCUUUGUAAAGUAGUGCAAUAUACUCUACACAUAUUCAUUGAAUGAAAUUUUUAUGAAUUUUACAGGAACAACAUUUUUCUCUCUCUUUACAUAGACAUUGAACUGUUGAAUGCAUCGUCACCCUUUGUAUGACAGAUUAAAUUUGUGUCAUUUUUUUUCUCAUUGUGUCUGAAUUCGUGUGCUCAAUACCGAAUCUGGAUAGUUUAUCAGUUUUGAAUAAAUUUCUUUUGGAUGU
rnacentral:misc_RNA from 1 species